GGUAGCUCAGUAGUAAAGCGCUUGCCUCGCAUGCAUGAGGUCCUGGGUUCGAUUCCUCAGUACCA
rnacentral:tRNA from 1 species